AGUUUGAUCCUGGCUCAGGAUGAACGCUAGCUACAGGCUUAACACAUGCAAGUCGAGGGGAAACGACAUCGAAAGCUUGCUUUUGAUGGGCGUCGACCGGCGCACGGGUGAGUAACGCGUAUCCAACCUGCCCAUCACUUGGGGAUAACCUUGCGAAAGUAAGACUAAUACCCAAUGAUAUCUCUAGAAGACAUCUGAAAGAGAUUAAAGAUUUAUCGGUGAUGGAUGGGGAUGCGUCUGAUUAGCUUGUUGGCGGGGUAACGGCCCACCAAGGCGACGAUCAGUAGGGGUUCUGAGAGGAAGGUCCCCCACAUUGGAACUGAGACACGGUCCAAACUCCUACGGGAGGCAGCAGUGAGGAAUAUUGGUCAAUGGGCGAGAGCCUGAACCAGCCAAGUAGCGUGCAGGAUGACGGCCCUAUGGGUUGUAAACUGCUUUUAUAAGGGAAUAAAGUGAGUCUCGUGAGAUUUUUUGCAUGUACCUUAUGAAUAAGGACCGGCUAAUUCCGUGCCAGCAGCCGCGGUAAUACGGAAGGUCCGGGCGUUAUCCGGAUUUAUUGGGUUUAAAGGGAGCGUAGGCCGGAGAUUAAGCGUGUUGUGAAAUGUAGACGCUCAACGUCUGCACUGCAGCGCGAACUGGUUUCCUUGAGUACGCACAAAGUGGGCGGAAUUCGUGGUGUAGCGGUGAAAUGCUUAGAUAUCACGAAGAACUCCGAUUGCGAAGGCAGCUCACUGGAGCGCAACUGACGCUGAAGCUCGAAAGUGCGGGUAUCGAACAGGAUUAGAUACCCUGGUAGUCCGCACGGUAAACGAUGGAUGCCCGCUGUUGGUCUGAAUAGGUCAGCGGCCAAGCGAAAGCAUUAAGCAUCCCACCUGGGGAGUACGCCGGCAACGGUGAAACUCAAAGGAAUUGACGGAA
rnacentral:rRNA from 1 species